CCCGCCUCCGCACAACACACUGUCACGGACGCUGAGCGAACUCUCUGACCGAACGCGCGCUUUUCAAACGGUCGCAGUCACUAUCAUCUCCUCACACAGUGGAAACGGUGGAGCCGGCUGCUCGGUGAAGACGGAACACGUUUACAGCUCGUUCUAGUGCCACUGGUCUGUUUUGGAGUUCAUCAUCUUCAUCUUCUCAAUUUAUCUUUUACAACCAAACUGACGAUCCGACGGUUUCUGCACGCAUCUCAGCCUGCCUAGCCGACAUCUCGCUCUGGAUGAAUGACCAUCACCUGCAGCUGAACCUUUCAAAAACAGAACUCCUUGUAAUCCCAGCCGAUACAAAGACUCAUCACAACCUCUCCAUUCAACUGGGCUCAUCAACCAUCUCAUCUUCCAGAAAUGCAAGAAACCUGGGAGUGGUGAUCGAUUAUCAGAACAACUUCACGGAUCAAGCUGCCAGCACUGCCCGGUCCUGUAAAUUCAUCCUCUACAAUAUCAGGAAAAUUAGACCCUUCCUAUCAGAGCAUGCUAGGCAAGUCCUAGUACAGGCUCUGGUCCUGUCCAGACUGGACUACUGCAAUGCGCUACUGGGUGGACUUCCAGCUUGCACAACCAAACCUCUACAGAUGAUCCAGAAUGCUGCGGCAAGAAUUAUCUUUAAUGAACCGAAGAGAGCACAUGUCACUCCUCUGUAUAUUGGCUCCCUAUAGUUGCUCGCAUCAAAUUCAAGACUCUGCUCCUGGCCUACAAGACCACCACUGGUUCGGCACCACCUUAUCUUCACUCGCUACUGCAGACAUACAGUAUGUACCUGCCAGAUCCCUACGCUCUGCAAACGAACGGUGCCUUGUGGUGCCAUCCCAAAAAGGUACAAAAUCUCUCUUGUGCAUCUUCCCUGGAUCUGUUCCACCUAUGUGGAAUGAUCUAUCCGCUGCUACAAGAUCUGCAGAUUCUGUAGCCAUCUUUAAGAAACGUCUGAAAACACAUCUCUUCCGUCAACAUCUGACUGAUCUGUUCUGACUCUAAAAACCCUCAAGUUGUUACAAACCUGUAUGAAAUUCUUUGUUCUGUUUAACACAAAAUAAUAUAUUUUGAAGAGUGUGAAAAGUUCUGGGGCACCAUUGAUUUCCAUAGUAUUUUUUACCAAAGCAAACUGGUGUAACGGUCACCAGGUCACUCAACUUCAGCCCUACACUUCCAAUAAUCCUCUGGGCCUACCCUCGGCACACAUUCUUCCAUACAUUCUACAUAUUGAAUCGGCCCAAUAAAACUCACAGUCGAUAGUCGGCUUGGUAUGUCCCGGGUUUAAGAUUCCACUAUCAGAUGGUCCCAUUAAGCACUUGGGGCAAAUCUUAACAGAUAUAUUAUUAGUUUUAGUUUUCCCAAAACUGUCAAUAUCUUGCUGUUAUACACACAAAAUAUUAAAUAUGUAGCACAAGGGUUAAACAGGUUACUUGGUCAUCGAAGUCUUAAGACUAAAUAUUUUUUAUAACACAACAUUUAUUUUGUAAAUUAUUUUACCAGUGUUAACUAUAAGAAAUGACAGGAUUUUUUUUACAUUUCAGAUUUCCUCCCUGGCAACUAUUGGGGGCCAUGACACAAAACGUGUCACAUGGAACAUCCUUUCACACAUGUUCCAUGAUGAUGUUGGGAGGAGGAUCAACUGGAAGGGCAUGAAUGGGAAAAAAUCUUAAAAUCAGAUGGAGUCUAGGAAGUUCCUCCUGUGUGCUGUGAGAAAGAGCCAUGUCUCCCGUGCCGCCACUGAUGAUGAGACCACAAUACAUGUGAUACGGUGGUUCAACCUAGCAGCAGACGGGGAGCAGACCCAGUGUCAGGACCCAAAAGUUGUGUUCUACUGUUUAACUUUAACUUGUGUGUUCAGUGUUCGUUUACCAGUUAAGAUAAAGACAAGUUUACUACUUUAAAAAGUAUUUUUUUAAGUUUAUAUUGAUCAAUCUUUUAAAAACCCAGUUUACACAAAAAAAAUAUUUAAUUAAAUGAUUCUUGAGCUACAUUAAAAAAAGUGUUAUUUUCCUUAAAUAAAUAAAAAUAUUUGUACAAUU